rnacentral:rRNA from 1 species
GUAGGGAAUAUUGGUCAAUGGACGAAAGUCUGAACCAGCCAUUCCGCGUGCAGGAAGAAGAUUCUAUGGAUUGUAAACUGCUUUUAGCAGAGAAGAAACGCCUUCAUUGAUGAGGGUUUGACGGUAUCUGCGGAAUAAGCACCGGCUAACUCCGUGCCAGCAGCCGCGGUAAUACGGGGGGUGCAAGCGUUAUCCGGAAUCACUGGGUUUAAAGGGUGCGUAGGCGGGAAAUUAAGUCAGUGGUGAAAGUCUGUUGCUUAACGAUAGAAUUGCCGUUGAUACUGAUUUUCUUGAAUUGGGUUGAGGUUAGCGGAAUGUGACAUGUAGCGGUGAAAUGCAUAGAUAUGUCAUGGAACACCAAUUGCGAAGGCAGCUAGCUGGGCCUUGAUUGACGCUGAGGCACGAAAGCGUGGGUAGCGAACAGGAUUAGAAACCCUAGUAGUCC